UCGCAGGACAUACACUAUAGGUAGUAGAGGCGGGGCAGAAGAAUUAAGAGAGGGUAGAAAAUUAAGGCAUUAUUUGUCUCCCCCAUUUUGAAAUAAUAUUUGGUCUGAGCGGACCUGUCCCGACCUGAAUUGCAUGCUGUGAGGGAGGGAGGAGUGAAGAGUGAAGGAGGGUAAAAAAGGAAAGCACAGCAGCACCUACUGGCUAGAGGCCAGAGCACAGUGCCCCUUCAUGGAGAAGGGGAUUAAAUAGAAGUCUUUGGAGUCUCUGGCUGUUUGCAUGAGCAAAUCCAUAGUUGAAGCAGCAUAACUGGAGAGCAUCGCAUAUUAAAACAUCUCUGAGUAGUGUUAGUUUCAGGUGCUAAAUGGAAUUUAGAGCAGCAUGAAAUCCUGGGUUGUGCAAACACAAACAGUUGCAUUGACCUAAACGGGAAAUAUCAUUUGGUCCACAUAUGCCCAGAAAUGCUUUAGUGGCUUUAGCUUGCAAUUGCCAUAGGUAACACAGGCACACACAGAAAAUUUUGGUUCCAGUGUAAUGUCACAACCCAAAGUUGUGAGUUUUUGUUUGUGUGUGCUUCAGCAUUGCUAAAUUAUGUUCCCGCUAAAUUGCAGCUUGCUUGCACGGCAGAGUUCUCCGCUGCGGAAGAGAACUCCGGUGCAACGCGGGAUUUCCCGCCAAUUUGUAGCUUUCUUUGCAUGGUGCAUUUCUUUUGCAUCUCAGAGAUGCACGGUGCAAAGGAGUUCCCGCCAUUUGUAUGAGAGUUCGUGCCACCUUAUUGGCCGACUCUAAUAUAUGCACACGUAACGGCUAGCGAUUGGCUUGCUAGCCGUAUAAAGUGCUUGGGUGGCUUCCGCCCAAGUUGGAGAGAAAUCACUUGGAGAGAAAUCACUUGGAGAGUGUGAAGAUCUCUAAGCAUUGCGGAUCCUCACGGACCCAACGCAUUUCUUAAGCAGGCAACAGAGGUCUAAACAGCCUCUGGCCUCUCCCCGUCGCCGAGCGCAAUCCUAGACGUAUCCCUUUCCUAUAUACUCAAUUUUCGAACCCACGGAAAUUUAACAACUCUGGGGCCUGAGAACCGAACAGAGCCCACGGAGCUUCGACAACUCCAUGGGAAAGAAAUUGCCGAACCCGCGGAGCCUAAACAACUCUGGGGCCAAAGAACCGAAUUUGUCAUAGUCCUCCAACGAGGAUUUAAGCGGAGCUGCACCUGGAAACUAUCCAGCCUACACCGCGACCAUCUUGGGUGUAAGUAAAUAAUCUUUAAAUCAACCAUUAUGCCUCUGUGACUAAUUCUAGCCCGUGCGCGCCUUGCCGCCGCACGGUCCUCUCCGGCCCCGCGUGCCCAGGCUGCUGGCCACAGCCCGCGUGCGCAAAGACGGGCCCGGCUCACCCCCGGCCCGCACGUGGCGACGAGGAUGGGAUCAGGAGAGGACACGCUAGAGCUAGAAUUGGUUCAGAACUGCCCUUGGCGUGAUAACCAACGCCAAGUGAAAAGCUUUGAGGAGAUGGAGGCGCAUAUCGCUUACCACCAGGCGGGCAGAAUGGGUGAAAGAUUUGUGAGCGGACGCCUGUCGCUACAGGGAGAAGAGGGAGUCUCCGAAGACGGAGCCCCGAGAGAGAGGGAAGUGUAUUUGCUCCCCGCGGCGUUCGGGUGUAUAAUGAGAGACGAGCGGGUCCUGUUCAGACCCCUCGAUACUGUGUCCCUCGCCGGACCCAACCCGGCGGGCGAAACAAACCCGACUUUCACCCUGGAGUGUGCCCGAUGCCUAUGAUAUGCUCGGGAGAGUGAAGAACCGGAAUCGAUCGGCCGGUUCCCUCCCCUCGUGGCGGCUAGAUUAAGGGGUCGCAAGCUACCAUCCGAGCUCCGCGAAGACCUGGAAGCGGAGGAACGAGCCGCAGAUGAGAGGGUGGCCCCGUGGUACAACAAGGGGGAAGAAUGUAGUGCAACAUUUCGUACUGUAAUGAAUCUAAUGCACAAGAACUUAAGUUUGAAAACCCAGCUGCAGAUGGCGAUCCAAGCGGUCAAAGAAGCGGCUGAGAAAAGGGAGCCUGAAACGCCAGUCCAAGAUGGUGCCGAGCAAGAGGGAGACCGCGUGGAAGAACCGGAAAAGAAGGGUGGAGCUUCGGAGGAACCCGCGAGAGUUCGGUCAGCGACUCCGUCCAUCGACGCAGUGUCGUCGCCGGCAACCCCGCCUAGCGACGCAGCAACGCCCCUACCGACCACACCUUCCUGCUGACAAAGGAGAGAGUCAAGCGGAGGAGUGCAUCCGCCCCUCCUGCCUAAAGCAACAACAGGAGCAGUAACUCCCACAGCAGCAGUUCAGCCUAUAACAACAUCAACUCCCGAAAGAACAGCUUUCCCUACAACAACGACUGAUCGAAUUGCUACUGCCUACUAUGCUCGCACCAGAGCUGAGUUGCAGGAUUUGUGUAGAGCAUCAAGAAUCCAACCUGAAGAGACUCUAGCUGUAUGGUUAGGACGUUUAGUCAUGGAACUUGGAUCCGACCUGCUGAACCAGGAAGAAGCAAGCUUCCUAGUUAGACAAGCUUCGUGGAGUAGAGGACAUGUCACUGACAUCGACAUGAUAACAGUUAAUACUCACUGGCCUAUUCCACUGCCAGCGCUUGUUGCAGGACUGAUUAGUCAGAAAGCCCACGUGUGGCAUGCAGGACGGCCAGAAUAUACCGGCGCAGAGCAUCUUAUGCUAGCAAUCAUCGGCGUCUCGUACUGUGCCUGGAACCCCAGAGCAUGUGCGCUGGGACUGACAUCACUCCAGCGAAUAAGACCAUGGCCUCAUUGUCACCUACGAGAUCCUGGAACCGUUCCAGUAACCGUUCACAGUCUAGACAGUUCCCUUGAGGUUUAUGGGCAGAAAAACAUCGUCGUCCUUCAGAUUCUGCUCAGUCCAAUGGUGAACCAACCUGUAAGUAAUCUUCUUUGUCAGUUGUCAUGACUGCGUAUCCUGAUGGAGCCAAGAUUGUCUCUUGAUCGGGACUGUCAACACCCAACCGGACCUCAAGGCACUAGACGUCGUGAAUCCGACCUUCCACCACUGCCACUGAGAACCUUAGAGGAGCGAUACAUGUUUGGAUUUCUCCUACAGCGUUCCGGACUCAACAAGCGGCAGCUUCGGAUUUUAGGAGAUGCAGGCCAAUGGCAAUUGGCCUAUGAGUUAGGUUUUCAUUAUUUAGAAGAGCCAGAUGAUGGAUCCUCUACGAUUUCGUCCAAUUGAGAAUAUGAGCCAUUAAAACUGUUUAAAUCUGUAGAAUAAGAUCAUUAAUCUAUUUUUUGAGAGUUUUCUGUUUACAGAUCUGAGACUCAGAGUGCGUGUCGAAGAGGAACCCUGAGAGGGAUGACAUCACUGAAAGAAGUGAGGGCCUGACGCGCAACUUCACCAUGAUGUCCACUGAAGCCGUGAUCGUGCAAUUUUGUUAUGAAUCAGAUUAUGUGUUUGUGUUAAUUAUUGUUUCUUGAUUGUUAUGUAACUUAAUCCCAGGGCAGCGAAUUUUAUGUUUGUUUAUUUGUUUGUUUGCUUAUCUGUUCGUUUGACAACUCACGACAAGGUUCUAGAGUGAUGAGUGUAUAGUAUAAUUUAGCUAUGCUCUCAGCAAGGGGGGAUGUCACAACCCAAAGUUGUGAGUUUUUGUUUGUGUGUGCUUCAGCAUCGCUAAAUUAUGUUCCCACUAAAUUGCAGUUUCCUUGCACGGCGGAGUUCUCUGCUGCGGAAGAGAACUCCGGUGCAAAGGGGGAUUUCCUGCCAAUUUGUAGCUUUCUUUGCAUGGUGCAUUUCUUUUGCAUCUCAGAGAUGCACGGUGCAAAGGAGUUCCCGCCAUUUGUAUGAGAGUUCGUGCCACCUUAUUGGCCGACUCUAAUAUAUGCACACGUAACGGCUAGCGAUUGGCUUGCUAGCCGUAUAAAGUGCUUGGGUGGCUUCUGCCCAAGUUGGAGAGAAAUCACUUGGAGAGAAAUCACUUGGAGAGUGUGAAGAUCUCGAAGCAUUGCGGAUCCUCACGGACCCAACGCAUUUCUUAAGCAGGCAACAGAGGUCUAAACAGCCUCUGGCCUCUCCCUGUCGCCGAGCGCAAUCCUAGACGUAUCCCUUUCCUAUAUACUCAAUUUUCAAACCCACGGAGAUUUAACAACUCCGGGGCCUGAGAACCGAACAGAGCCCACGGAGCUUCGACAACUCCGUGGGAAAGAAAUUUCCGAACCCGCGGAGCCUAAACAACUCCGGGGCCAAAGAACCGAAUUUGUCGUAGUCCUCCAAUGAGGAUUUAAGCGGAGCUGCACCUGGAAACUGUCCAGCCUACACCACGACCAUCUUGGGUGUAAGUAAAUAAUCUUUAAAUCAACCAUUAUGCCUCUGUGACAUUCUAGCCCGUGCGCGCCUUGCCGCCGCACGGUCCUCUCCGGCCCCGCAUGCCCGGGCUGCUGGCCACAGCCCGCAUGCACAAAGACGGGCCCGGCUCGCCCCCAGCCUGCACGUGUAAAAGCUUGUUUAAAGCAGGAAAUAUAUAUUAUGUUAGAAAAAUGUAUCAACUAAAGCUGGUAGACUUUUUCCCUUUAAAUGCUUCCCCCCUCCUCCCCCACGCUGCCCCGCACCCAAGUGAAAAGGAAAAACAAAUUUUUAAAGCUACAUGAAAUUCAUAAUUCCCUCCCACCCUCCUUGCCUUUUCUUAAUCCCAUACAUUUCCAGUGAGGGGAGAUUUCUCCAGAAAGUUAUUUCUUUUUCUUUAAGCUAAGAAGAAGAGUCAUGUAGAUUUAUUUUCUCUCAGUUAUUAGCAUUCAAAAAUAUUAUCCCUACUUUUCUGGGUGGGAGAGAAGAGGUAGGAAGAUAGACUAAAAGAAAUUGAGGAAAAAAUAUUGACAGUGUUUCUCCCUUCUCAUUCCAAACAAAUAAACUAACAAAGACAUCAGACUAGACACCAGGAGGGGCUACUUCACAGUCAGGGUGGCUAGGACCUGGAACCAGCUUCCAAGAGAAGUGGUGCUGGCUCCUACCCUGGGGGUCUUUAAGAGGAGGUUAGAUGAAUAUCUUGCUGGGGUUGUUUGACCCUAGUACCUUUUCCUGCCAUGGCAGGGGGUUGGACUUGAUGAUCUGCUCAGGUCCCUUCCGACCCUACCAACUAUAAAACUAUGAAACUAUGAAAGACAUGCACCAGAUAUUUUGUUGUAGUAUAUAACAUUUCUGAAAUUGAAACUAUCUUUUACUUGCUCUCUCUCUUUUUCCACUCUGUUCAACAGUUGAGUAGAAAAGUGAGAAGAGUUGUAUAUACUUCACACUUCUGUUUUUCCAUCAUCAUAAUUUGGGUUUGAAGAGGAAGAAAGUUCAACUGACAAGCAAUCUGGGGGAGGAAAAAAAAAGAGAAAAGCUGAGAGAAAUUCAUAAAGAAUGAGGCAAUAUCCUUUUAUUACUUCAAGUUAGUAUAUUUUAAAUGAGAGAGGAAGGAAUACCCAAGGAUCUUUGAAAUAAAAAAUUGUGAUUUAGACAUA